GAUGAACGCUGGCGGCAUGUUUAAGGCAUGCAAGUCGAACGAUCCACCUUUCUUCGGAAAGAAUGGAUAGUGGCAAACGGGUGAGUAUCGCAUUGGUAACCUGCCCCGAAGACGAGGACAACCACUGGAAACGGUGGCUAAUACUCGAUGGUCAUGGGGGGUCAUAUGACAUUCCCAUGUAAAUACUCCGGUGCUUCGGGAGGGGCCUAUGUCCUAUCAGCUAGUUGGUACGGUAACGGCGUACCAAGGCUACGACGGGUAGCGGGUGUGAGAGCAUGACCCGCCACACUGGGACUGAGACACUGCCCAGACUCCUACGGGAGGCUGCAGUCGAGAAUCUUCCACAAUGGGCGAAAGCCUGAUGGAGCGAUGCCGCGUGCUUGAUGAAGCCCUUUCGGGUGUAAAGAGCUUUUUUAUAAGGGACGAAUUCGUGACGGUACCUUAUGAAUAAGAGGUUGCUAACUCUGUGCCAGCGCCGCGGUAA
rnacentral:rRNA from 1 species